rnacentral:rRNA from 1 species
AGUGAACGCUGGCGGUAGGCCUAACACAUGCAAGUCGAACGGCAGCACAGUAAGAGCUUGCUCUUACGGGUGGCGAGUGGCGGACGGGUGAGGAAUACAUCGGAAUCUACUUUUUCGUGGGGGAUAACGUAGGGAAACUUACGCUAAUACCGCAUACGACCUACGGGUGAAAGCAGGGGAUCUUCGGACCUUGCGCGAUUGAAUGAGCCGAUGUCGGAUUAGCUAGUUGGCGGGGGAAAGGCCCACCAAGGCGACGAUCCGUAGCUGGUCUGAGAGGAUGAUCAGCCACACUGGAAGUGAGACACGGUCCAGACUCCUACGGGAGGCAGCAGUGGGGAAUAUUGGACAAUGGGCGCAAGCCUGAUCCAGCCAUACCGCGUGGGUGAAGAAGGCCUUCGGGUUGUAAAGCCCUUUUGUUGGGAAAGAAAAGCAGCAGGUUAAUACCCCGCUGUUCUGACGGUACCCAAAGAAUAAGCACCGGCUAACUUCGUG